AAAGCUCAAAUUUGAAAUCUGACACUUCUGGUGUUCGAGUUGUACUUUGGAGAGGCAUCUUCUGGAGGGAGUUCGGUCUAAUGUGCCUUGGAACAGGACAUCAUAGAGGGUGAGAAUCCCGUCCUAGACUGGAUAUUCCCUCCUGUAAGUAGUGUCUUCUACGAGUCGAGUUGUUUGGGAAUGCAGCUCAAAAUGGGUGGUAAAUUUCAUCUAAAGCUAAAUAUUGGCGAGAGACCGAUAGCGCACAAGUAGAGUGAUCGAAAGAUGAAAAGCACUUUGAAAAUAGAGUCAAACAGUACGUGAAAUUGUUGAAAGGGAAGCGCUUGAGACCAGAGUCAGCCUUUGGCAAACAACUGUCCUUCUGGGCGGUGCACUUGUUAUUGGUUGGGCCAGCAUCGGUUGGGAUGGCAGGAUAAAGGCCCAGGGAAUGUGACUCCACUAUGGAGUGUUAUAGCCCCAGGUAGCAUGCUGUCAGCUC
rnacentral:rRNA from 1 species